AGCAGCCGCGGUAAUUCCAGCUCCAAUAGCGUAUAUUAAAGUUGUUGCAGUUAAAAAGCUCGUAGUUGAACUUCAGGCCUGGCUGGGCGGUCCGCCUUCCGGGCGAGUACUGCCUGUGGUCGGGUCCUACCUUCUGGCGAAGCGUCAUGGCCUUAACCGGCCGUGGCGGGGAACCAGGACUUUUACUGUGAAAAAAUUAGAGUGUUCAAAGCAGGCACGCGCUUGAAUACAUUAGCAUGGAAUAAUGGAAUAGGACAGUGGUUCUAUUUGUUGGUUUCUAGGACCGUUGUAAUGAUUAAUAGGGAUAGUUGGGGGCAUUAGUAUUCAAUUGUCAGAGGUGAAAUUCUUGGAUUUAUUGAAGACUAACUACUGCGAAAGCAUUUGCCAAGGAUGUUUUCAUUAAUCAAGAACGAAAGUUAGGGGAUCGAAGACGAUCAGAUACCGUCGUAGUCUUAACCAUAAACUAUGCCGACUAGGAAUCGGGCGAUGUUGACAAAAUGACGCGCUCGGCACCUCAUGG
rnacentral:rRNA from 1 species